rnacentral:rRNA from 1 species
AAUCCAUAGGUUAAUGAGGCGAACCGGGGGAACUGAAACAUCUAAGUACCCCGAGGAAAAGAAAUCAACCGAGAUUCCCCCAGUAGCGGCGAGCGAACGGGGAGGAGCCCAGAGCCUGAAUCAGCAUGUGUGUUAGUGGAAGCGUCUGGAAAGGCGCGCGAUACAGGGUGACAGCCCCGUACACAAAAGCGCAUGUGCUGUGAGCUCGAUGAGUAGGGCGGGACACGUGGUAUCCUGUCUGAAUAUGGGGGGACCAUCCUCCAAGGCUAAAUACUCCUGACUGACCGAUAGUGAACCAGUACCGUGAGGGAAAGGCGAAAAGAACCCCGGCGAGGGGAGUGAAAAAGAACCUGAAACCGUGUACGUACAAGCAGUGGGAGCACAGGUUUACCUGUGUGACUGCGUACCUUUUGUAUAAUGGGUCAGCGACUUAUAUUCUGUAGCAAGGUUAACCGAAUAGGGGAGCCGGAGGGAAACCGAGUCUUAAUUGGGCGUUAAGUUGCAGGGUAUAGACCCGAAACCCGGUGAUCUAGCCAUGGGCAGGUUGAAGGUUGGGUAACACUAACUGGAGGACCGAACCGACUAAUGUUGAAAAAUUAGCGGAUGACCUGUGGCUGGGGGUGAAAGGCCAAUCAAACCGGGAGAUAGCUGGUUCUCCCCGAAAGCUAUUUAGGUAGCGCCUCGUGAAUUCAUCUCCGGGGGUAGAGCACUGUUUCGGCUAGGGGGCCAUCCCGGCUUACCAACCCGAUGCAAACUGCGAAUACCGGAGAAUGUUAUCACGGGAGACACACGGCGGGUGCUAACGUCCGUCGUGAAGAGGGAAACAACCCAGACCGCCAGCUAAGGUCCCAAAGUCAUGGUUAAGUGGGAAACGAUGUGGGAAGGCCCAGACAGCCAGGAUGUUGGCUUAGAAGCAGCCAUCAUUUAAAGAAAGCGUAAUAGCUCACUGGUCGAGUCGGCCUGCGCGGAAGAUGUAACGGGGCUAAACCAUGCACCGAAGCUGCGGCAGCGACACUGUGUGUUGUUGGGUAGGGGAGCGUUCUGUAAGCCUGCGAAGGUGGCCUGUGAGGG